GGGUGGUGAACCUCCAGCAUUACUUUCUCCUCAUGUAGUGGACUACAUUGUAACAGGAGAUAUUCUUCAUGUGCAUGUCAGCCCAGAUGACGUCGCUGACACUGAACUCAGAGAAAACCUGACAAAGGUUGAUCAAGCAGCAACCCAAGAUGAGUUGAAUAUAGCAGUGGAAUGUUGUGAUUCAUGGAGAUUUGAAGUUGAAGGUCUUCCAAACCCAGUCAACAUGGAGACCAAGGAUGCAUUUGUAAAGAAUGCAAUACACUUCCACAAUCUCAUUCAACGACAGAUCUGCUAUGACCAGUUCGUUCAGGGUUUGAAGCACUAUGAGGUCCUACCACUAUUGAAAGAAAAUCCUUCUAUGAGGGUUUUCUUUGAUAUGCCCAAAGAAGCCAGUGAAGUCACUGCA